rnacentral:lncRNA from 1 species
CUAACAAUCACAAGGGUAGAUUGCAAAGUUUAAGACAUCAUGUCAGAAUCAUUCUGUCCAGGAUGGUAGGUAAAAAAAUGAUCGUCUACAUUCAAUGUCUAUUUGGUUGAAAUUUUGCUAAGAGCACUGAAUCCCUCAUCAAAUGGACAGAGGAAUUCCUCUGGAAGAAUGUCUAAUUAUCACUGAUCCAUGAUCCCUCCCCUCAAUUUGGUUCUAACCCAAAGAAAUGUUAUUUAAAAACUUAUCAAAGAGGUUUACAUGGAAAAUAACCACUGACAUCUUGUAAGUAUAAGGCAAUUACAGAUGGAAAUGGCUCAUAAAAUUGAGAAUUCUUUCAUAUGCUCUCUU